rnacentral:rRNA from 1 species
AAAAAGCGGAGGAAAAGAAACUAACAAGGAUUCCCCUAGUAACGGCGAGUGAAGCGGGAAGAGCUCAAAUUUGAAAUCUGGUGGCCUCAGGUCAUCCGAGUUGUAAUCUAUAGAAGUGUUUUCCGUGCUGGCUCAUGUACAAGUCCCUUGGAACAGGGCGUCAUAGAGGGUGAGAAUCCCGUCCUUGACAUGAACUACCAGUGCUCUGUGAUACAUUUUCAACGAGUCGAGUUGUUUGGGAAUGCAGCUCAAAAUGGGUGGUAAAUUCCAUCUAAAGCUAAAUAUUGGCGAGAGACCGAUAGCGAACAAGUACCGUGAGGGAAAGAUGAAAAGCACUUUGGAAAGAGAGUUAAACAGUAUGUGAAAUUGUUGAAAGGGAAACGAUUGAAGUCAGUCGUGCUCUUUGGAUUCAGCCGGUUCUGCCGGUGUACUUCCUUUGAGUGGGGUCAACAUCAGUUUUGAUCGCUGGAUAAAGGCUGGAGGAACGUAGUACCCUCGGGUAAACUUAUAGCCUCCUGUCACAUACAGUGGUUGGGACUGAGGAACGCAGCACGCCUUUAUGGCCGGGAUUCGUCCACGUACGUGCUAGGAUGUGACUAAUGUCU